rnacentral:rRNA from 1 species
GAUGAACGCUGGCGGCGUGCUUAACACAUGCAAGUCGAACGGGAAACUUUUCAUUGAAGCUUCGGCAGAUUUGGUCUGUUUCUAGUGGCGGACGGGUGAGUAACGCGUGGGUAACCUGCCUUAUACAGGGGGAUAACAACCAGAAAUGGUUGCUAAUACCGCAUAAGCGCACAGGACCGCAUGGUCCGGUGUGAAAAACUCCGGUGGUAUAAGAUGGACCCGCGUUGGAUUAGCUAGUUGGCAGGGUAACGGCCUACCAAGGCGACGAUCCAUAGCCGGCCUGAGAGGGUGAACGGCCACAUUGGGACUGAGACACGGCCCAGACUCCUACGGGAGGCAGCAGUGGGGAAUAUUGCACAAUGGGGGAAACCCUGAUGCAGCGACGCCGCGUGAAGGAAGAAGUAUCUCGGUAUGUAAACUUCUAUCAGCAGGGAAGAUAGUGACGGUACCUGACUAAGAAGCCCCGGCUAACUACGUGCCAGCAGCCGCGGUAAUACGUAGGGGGCAAGCGUUAUCCGGAUUUACUGGGUGUAAAGGGAGCGUAGACGGACUGGCAAGUCUGAUGUGAAAGGCGGGGGCUCAACCCCUGGACUGCAUUGGAAACUGUUAGUCUUGAGUGCCGGAGAGGUAAGCGGAAUUCCUAGUGUAGCGGUGAAAUGCGUAGAUAUUAGGAGGAACACCAGUGGCGAAGGCGGCUUACUGGAC